rnacentral:misc_RNA from 1 species
GGUCUGGUUUAUUGGUUUCUCCUUUUUCAAUAUUUGAUAGUGAGCCAAAAGGGUGUUUGAAAAAAAGGGAAUUUUGUUGUUCAAAGAAGUAUAAUGGUAUUGGUUGGACUAGUGCUGUGAAAAGAAUGAUAAACAGUGGCUCAAUGAGGAGGAUUUUUGGGAUGGACAAAACUGGGAUGCCUAAUGGGUCAAAGAGUGAUAUUGGCUUUUGGGUGUUUGCUAUAAAGUUGUUCAAGAUGAUGAUUCAUCCAUAGAACCAACUCAAAGUGAAGGUUUUGCUGCUUUUGUUGAUGAUUUCUCAUCUAGAAUUCUUGUUACAUAUCGUAAAGGUUUUGCUCCUAUUGAAGAUACUAAGUAUACCAGUGAUGUUAAUUGGGGUUGCAUGCUUAGGAGUAGUCAGAUGCUUGUUGCUCAGGCUCUACUUCUUCAUCGAUUAGGAAGAUCGUGGAGAAAAUCUAUGGACAAGCCGCUUGAACAAAAGUAUGUGGAGAUUUUGCACCUCUUUGGUGAUUCUGUGGAGUCAGCUUACUCUAUCCAUAACCUCCUGCAAGCCGGCAAGACUUAUGGUCUUUCUCCUGGUUCUUGGGUGGGUCCGUAUGCAAUGUGCCGCACCUGGGAAACAUUAGCACGCUGCAAAAGAGAAGAAACAGGAAAUGCAGUCAUGUCUCCAGCUAUGGCUAUCUAUGUUGUAUCUGGGGAUGAAGAUGGAGAAAGAGGUGGAGCGCCAGUUCUCUGCGUUGAGGACAUUGUCAAGCAUUGUUCCGGCUUGGCAAAAGGCGAAGUUGACUGGACACCUGUUCUUUUCUUAGUACCGUUGGUUCUUGGACUUGACAAAAUCAAUUCGAGGUAUCUUCCUUUACUGGCAGCUACAUUUAGUUUUCCUCAAAGCCUUGGGAUCCUAGGUGGCAGACCUGGAGCAUCAACCUAUAUUGUUGGCGUGCAAGAUGAUAAAGCCGUUUAUCUUGACCCACAUGAAGUUCAGCCAGUUGUUGAUAUUAAAAUGGAUAAGCUAGAUGUUGAUACUUCAUCUUAUCACUGCAAUACUGUAAGGCAUUUUCCACUGGAUUCAAUUGAUCCCUCCUUGGCUAUCGGAUUUUACUGUAGAGAUAAAAGUGAUUUUGAUGAUUUCUGUAUACGAGCAUCUGAGCUAGUAGAUCAGUCAAACGGUGCUCCAUUGUUUACCAUAACUGAGACUCGUAGCUCUGCCACAUCAGUUGAGUACAAUGACAGGUUGACUAGUGAUACUGGAGUCCCGGAACUGGACUCCUUCGAUGCUGUAGCCCCCGGUGAAUCAGAUGGUAGUAGUAGACCUGAAGAUGAGUGGCAACUCCUUUGAUCUGACGACACAAUUCAGGCUCAAAAGUUGUGUAAAUAACUACGUAGGUGGUCUACUUGAUUGCGUCCGUGGCCUUAAUGUGUCAUGACUUGUUUGGUGCAGACGAUUUCGGGUAAAACUACUGCUGUAAGAUAGACAUACUUG